CCAGCUGCACUCUGGCCAUGGCUUUGCAGAGCACUCUGGAGACAGUGUGGCUGGGGCUUCUCCUCAGCUCUCCCUGGAAGCUUGCAGAGAGCAAAGACCAAGUAUUUCAGCCCCCUGCUGUGGCUUCUCCGGAGGGCGUCAUGGCGGAAAUCCCCUGCAAUCACUCUAUAUCCAAUGCUUACACCUUCUUCUGGUACCUUCACACCCCAGGACACGCUCCAAGACUCCUGGUUCGGGGUUCCCAGCCUUCUCAGCAGGGACGCUACAAUAUGACGUAUGAGCGGUUCUCCUCGUUGCUGCUCAUCCCCCAGGUGCAGGUGACAGAUGCUGCCACUUACUACUGUGCUCUGGAGGGCACAGAGGCAGGGAGCCUAAGAAGAGCUGAGCAGAAACAGAAAGGGUCACAGCCUUUGCAGGAGGCGGAAGAGAUGUGCUAUCACUGCUUUCCUCCCUAAUUCAGCG